UACGUAGGGGGCGAGCGUUGUCCGGAAUUAUUGGGCGUAAAGAGCGUGUAGGCGGUCCGGUAAGUCAGCUGUGAAAGUCAAGGGCUCAACCGUGGAAGUGCACUCGAAACCGCCUAGCUGGAGUCUCGGAGAGGAAGGUGGAAUGCUUGGUGUAGAGGUGAAAUUCGUAGAUAUCAAGCAGAACACCUGUGGCGAAGGCGGCCUUCUGGACGAUGACUGACGCUGAGACGCGAAAGCGUGGGGAGCAAACAGG
rnacentral:rRNA from 1 species